GAUGUGUGCUUCAUCUGUAGGGUUGGCGGCCAUCUCAUGCUCUGCGACUUCAGGUUUAUCUCCCUUCGCUCCAGUGGUGGGAAGGCUUACAUUUUUGUGUUCUUGAUUAUUUUUCACGGGUAAUAACUUUGUUCUUGCUUCUCCCGGUGGCUGUUGCAAAGCGUACCACAUUGAAUGCUUAGGAAAACAUGAUGUCAAUUCUAAAGAAUUGUUUAUUUGUGAAUAUCAUGCAUGCUCGGUGUGCUUAGAGUGUCCGCACCACUACUGUGUGUGUUGUCCUCGAUCCUUCUAUGAAGCUUGCAGAAAAGGCGUGUACUUUCAAAUGAUCAAAGGGACAAAUGGACUCCGCGGUAGCUGUUUUGAGUUGGUAGUGGCAAAGGAGAAGGAGGAUCUUGAUCCCAGAGACCUGGUGCUAUUCAUGGAUUAAUGUACACUUUUUGAGAAGGAUGGCUUGGACAUCAGUACAUUCAGAAGUUAUGGGAUUCAUUUCAUGUUCUACUUGAUGAACAAGGAUCACGUGUCCUUCGAUGAUCUUCAUGAAGCAUGCCUUGGUUUGUGA